AUUGAACGCUGGCGGCAGGCUUAACACAUGCAAGUCGAGCGGAGAUGAGGUGCUUGCACCUUAUCUUAGCGGCGGACGGGUGAGUAAUGCUUAGGAAUCUGCCUAUUAGUGGGGGACAACAUUCCGAAAGGAAUGCUAAUACCGCAUACGUCCUACGGGAGAAAGCAGGGGAUCUUCGGACCUUGCGCUAAUAGAUGAGCCUAAGUCGGAUAGCUAGUUGGUGGGGUAAAGGCCUACCAAGGCGACGAUCUGUAGCGGGUCUGAGAGGAUGACCCGCCACACUGGGACGGAGAAACGGCCCAGACUCCUACGGGAGGCAGCAGUGGGGAAUAUUGGACAAUGGGGGGAACCCUGAUCCAGCCAUGCCGCGUGUGUGAAGAAGGCCUUAUGGUUGUAAAGCACUUUAAGCGAGGAGGAGGCUACUGAGACUAAUACUCUUGGAUAGUGGACGUUACUCGCAGAAUAAGCACCGGCCAACUCUGUGCCAGCCGCCGCUGUAACAC
rnacentral:rRNA from 1 species